rnacentral:rRNA from 1 species
UACGGAGGGUGCAAGCGUUAUUCGGAAUGACUGGGCGUAAAGCGCACGUAGGCGGUUUGCUAAGUCUGAUGUGAAAUCCCUGGACUCAAUCCAGGAAGUGCAUUGGAUACUGGCAGACUAGAGGACAGGAGAGGAGAGCGGAAUUCCAGGUGUAGAGGUGAAAUUUGUAGAUAUCUGGAGGAACAACAGAGGCGAAGGCGGCUCUCUGGACUGUCACUGACGCUGAGGUGCGAAAGCGUGGGGAGCAAACAGG